AUCAUUUGAUUUCCUCUCAUUCUCUGGUUGAUGACGGCCGGUGUUAAAAGAGUAAAGUUUGAAGUAAGUGACGAGUGUUAUUUAUUCAAUGUUCUUUAAACAUGUGAAUUGUUUGAUAAAAAAAUGUGAUAAUUGUUUGUUUAGAAAUUGGUUAUGUUUCAGUUUGUUGUAAUCUAGUUUAAAAAUUAUUUUUGCCCCCGGUAGGCUGAGAUUCGAAGGCCAGGUGUCAAGGUUGUUUGCAACAGAGAGAAUUCUGAGAAAAUAGUUAAAUGUGUACUCAAAGUCGGAUGUUUUUUUGUUUGGUAUGGAACCUCCACUCGGUGUGAUAUUUUUUUCUUGGAUUAUAUAUGUAAGUUUGUUGGAAUGUAAGUGGAUGGUUGAAUAGGUCAUCGUACAUGAGGAGAUGAAAUGGGAGUAUAAAAUCCAAGUGUACGUGUUGGUGAGACAUUGUAUAUGGUGUGUGUGUACAACAAUUGUGGAAGGAUAAUUGUGGACAGAGAUGGUGGAGGCUUUACGUACAUAUUAGAUUUGAUAUGGUACAUAUGCACAAUAACGAUAAUAGUGUACUUGUGUACAAAGAAAAAAAGAUAUGUACACAUGGACAUUACAAGUAAAGCCAAUGUUCAAUAAGAACGAGGAGC
rnacentral:lncRNA from 1 species